AAGAAGAAGCUGCGGAUUUCAUGGAGAAGGUUGAAGAAGAUGACGAAGAAGACGAAGAAACAAUAGCAUCGUUAUUAGUUGCAGUGUGACGAGGAAGCAGUUGGAAGGAAGUGGAAGAAGGUUGUAGUGAUGGUGGUCGAUUUGUGAGGUAACCUAAUUCCCCUGAGCGAUGAACUUUUUCUGGAAAAUUGAGCUUGGCUUUGGUUCCUUUGAAUCUGAGAGCUGCUUCAUCGUAAGCAAGUGCAGCAGCCUCCGCGGUGGGGAAAGUUCCCAGCCAAACUCUGGCUGCUUUCUUCGGGUCGCGAAUCUCCGCGGCCCACUUCCCCCAUGGUCGCUGUCUCACUCCUCUAUACUGUCUUCUUGCGUUUCCUUCGUACACACACACAUCACGAAUUUCAACAAACACCUUGCGAGCAUCUUUCGUUAUGCACACGCACGUCACAUUCACGUAUGCUACUUUUCAUAACUUAACAUUAUAAACACUUCAUAUAUUUUUCUUUUAUCAUUUAGGAUAUUCAAUUUUAGGGUCAUACUAAUAAACUAAUAUUUUAAUUAUAUAUAUUUUUAAUUUAAAAUAUUAUUAUAAUGGUUUGUCUUUUCUGGCUGUUAAAGAUUUUUUUUUUAAAUGUUAUGUUAUGUCUAACCUAUUUCAAUGAAAUUGUUUUAUAAUAUUUAUAUAAACUUAUAACUAUGUGUAUAACUUAUGCCAUAAAUAUAUAUAUAUAUAUAUAUAUAUAUAUAUUUAGGUGUAUUAAAUCUUGUGCUUGAUUUUUUUUAAAGAAAUUAUUAGUUUUGGUGUUCAUAAUUAUUUAAGACAAACUUUCUCAUCAUUUAAAUAAUGUGAGUAUAGACAUGUCACAUAUUAACAACUAUUAUGAGAUGGCAUAUAACAUGACAUGUCUGGGUAUAUAGUCUACAUGUAUUUUAUAUGAAUUAUUAAUUUUAGGGUUUAGGUUUGAAGUUCUUUUAAAGUUGGUAUUUUAAAAGUUUUUUAUUUAUUUACGCUGACCUAAUAAAAAAUACCAGUUUUAUGUUUGGUUUCAAAGAAAAAUAAUUCUUUGACAGUGAGUUAUAUACCACUCUUAAUAUAAAUAUAAAUAUAUAUAAUAAAUAGUAAAUUUAUAAUUAAAUAAUAUAUAAAAAUAUUAAAAGUUAUAACAUAGUUAUAGCAUAUAAAAAGAUAGAUGGUCAAUAUAAAUAUAUAUAUAUCACAAAAACAAGAAACAACCUUUUAUCUGGUAACACAACUUCAGAAAAAUAUAAAUUACCCACAUUGAUAACUACACACAACGAUAACUUCAAUGUUCUAACUCACACAGCUCUUUUCCACACUAUAUACGAUCGUCUUCACCCUAAUCUUUAAACUAUAUAUAUUGUAUUAUAAAUACACUAUAAUUAACAGCGUACUUUAUUAACAUGUUGUUUAGCAUACAAACAUCAAACUUUAGAUAACACAUUUUGUGUAUUUGUCACUACCAAAUAAAACGUAGAACAAUAAAUCUUGUAGUAUAGUACUUAUACGUCCUGGGAUAUAUUUUGUAUCGCUAUUACCGUAUGUUUGGAGUGAAGGAAGGAAAGAAAGAAAAAAAAAAUUCCUUAUAUAAAUCAAGUUUUUUUUUUCUCACACCACAAAAAGAAAAAUUUAUCUAUAUAUCUUUAAUUUCUUUUUUUCUUUGGCAUGUUUUCAUCAUUAUCUGGAAUGUGUCUAUAUACUAAUAACAUUGGUAUAAAAAUAAUUUCAAUAAUUUCAUCCUAUUUCUUUUACGCUUUGUUGAAAGAAUUUACUUCUUCUUUCUCUUUCUAGUUCACAUCAUCAUUAACAUUUUAUUCAACAUCAUAAUUAACAGAAAUGGUAUUAAGAGUGGUAAACGUGAGUAUAAAGAAAGUAAGAGUUGUUAAUUAUCCUGGUCCUAUAAUUAUUAAAGGGUGUAAAGAGUGUGUAAAAAAGAAGUAAUAACAAAAUAUUAAAUUUUUUUAUGCAGUAUCAUAUAAGUGCAUGGGAAACAAGAUUGAGAAAAACCAUGAACAACACAUUAAUGUAAACAAAACAGCAUUCAUGUAUAUAUAUGCAGGAGCCUCACGUGAUGUAACUUGCAGGAUCACACGAUGAUUUUGAGAGACAAAUCAAGAAACCCUAAAGAUUGCUAUAGCUCUAGCUACACAAGGUAAUAACAUAUAAUAGUAUAUCCUUUUCAGGUUUUAACAAAGAUGAACACAACAGGGGAACAUAAUUCUUGUUUAUGCAUCAAUUCAUCAACCUUAUCUUCUAAUUCCAUGGUCCUUAAUUACUCCUCAAAUCAACUACCAAAGCAAUCUAUAUGGAAAAAAGACAAAAAAAAUGUCUAAUAUAGUAUAUAUGAUGAUGGCACAGGGAGGAACAUACCUUGGUGUUGUGGUGGAUGUGAUGGUAAAUUCGAAAUAUUCUCAACAGCACUAGACUGAGACACUGUUGUUGUUGGAUCUUUGUGCUGUGGUUUGCCACCAAUGACUUCAACAAGGGCUGAUACCACAGCUGAUAUGUCUUGCUUAGACUGAGAAAAAUAAAACGGAAACGUUUUUUCUUCUGCUUCUUCUUCUUCUUCUUCCAAAGGAAGUGGCCUCUUCCCAUGUUUUCGAUCCACUUUGGCAACUGAGAUCGAUCACGUUAAAGGUUCGAUCAAGUAUCCUACUAUAUAUAGGUAGUUCUUCACUUGGCUGUUCAGCGAUGAUUCUGAGUGUUAACUGCUAAAUUUUGUUUAUGGUUUUGCUGAACGUGCAAACUAAUUGAAUCUAACUGAUAAGAAAGUGUGUUGAUGUUAGUGUAUUUGGGUGGAUCGAACAUAAAGGCGAUCAUGGAAAGGGAGAAGAAAUGGAACUAGGAAAGAGAAGUGGAAACGAAGCUAGGGUUUUUGAAUGAAAUUCUGAGGACUACAAAUAAACUGAAGAAAGAGGAACACAAAAGUCUUCUGUUCCCUUAUUCUUCUUCUGUCUCCUUUUCUUACUUUAUCUUUUUUUAUGUUUACUUUUUAAUUAAACCUUU
rnacentral:lncRNA from 1 species